GUAACAAUAGCUUAAGUAGAGCAAUGGUCUUGUAAGCCAUAGGUGAAAUGUUAAUAUUCUUGUUACU
rnacentral:tRNA from 1 species